UGACGGAGCGACGCCGCGUGGGGAGUGAAGGCUUUCGGGUUGUAAACCCUUUCAGGUGGGAAGAACAGUCACGAGGUGAACAAUCUCGUGGCCUUGACGGUACCGCCAGAAGAAGCUCCGGCCAACUCCGUGCCAGCAGCCGCGGUAAGUACGGGGGGAGCGAGCGUUGUUCGGAUUCAUUGGGCGUAAAGGGCGCGUAGGCGGCUCGGUAAGUCUGACGUGAAAUGCACCGGUUCGAACCGGGGCGCUGUGUCAGAAACUGCCAGGCUUGAGGUCGAGGGAGGAAGGUGGAAUUCCUGGUGUAGCGGUGAAAUGCGUAGAUAUCAGGAGGAACACCCGUGGCGAAAGCGGCCUUCUAUCUCGAUUCUGACGCUGAGGCGCGAAAGCUAGGGGAGCAAACGGGAUUAGAUACCCCGGUAGUCCUAGCCGUAAACGAUGGGCACUAGGUGUGGGAGGUAUCGACCCCUUCCGUGCCGCAGCUAACGCAUUAAGUGCCCCGCCUGGGGAGUACGGCCGCAAGGUUG
rnacentral:rRNA from 1 species